CUGCGGGCGGCUGCCGCCGAGCCGGGGGGAGCGGGCGGUGGCUGCGGGAUCCCCGGCUCCGCCUCGGGGCUCGCCGUGCCUGCAGGCGACGCGCCGCUGCUCCCGCAGCCCCGAGCCCUGCGAGCCCGAACGGGAGAGAAACAAAAGAUUCUCCUUUCAAACCCAGGCCGUGCUCUUAAAAUCUUCAUGAGACCCAUUCUGCUUCUGUGAGAUUCUGCUCUAAAUCAACCAUUCUUGAACAUGAAACAACUGGAAUUCAAACCAGCUUCUCACAGCUCUUACCACUGAGAAAUAAAGAAUGCAAUCAACUAAA